rnacentral:rRNA from 1 species
CGUGCGGAGGCUACACUGCGGUAAACGCGCUUCGGGUGAGCGGCGGACGUGUUAGUAACGCGUGGGAACGUGCCCUUCUCUACGGAAUAGCCUCUGGAAACGGAGAGUAAUACCGUAUACGCCCUUUGGGGGAAAGAUUUAUCGGAGAAGGAUCGGCCCGCGUUAGAUUAGGUAGUUGGUGGGGUAACGGCCUACCAAGCCUACGAUCUAUAGCUGGUUUUAGAGGAUGAUCAGCAACACUGGGACUGAGACACGGACCAGACUCCUACGGGAGGCAGCAGUGGGGAAUCUUAGACAAUGGGGGCAAACCUGAUCUAGCCAUGCCGCGUGAGUGAUGAAGGCCUUAGGGUCGUAAAGCUCUUUCGCCUGUGAUGAUAAUGACAGUAGCAGGUAAAGAAAGCCCGGCUAACUCCGUGCCAGCAGCCGCGGUAAUACGGAGGGGGUUAGCGUUGUUCGGAAUUACUGGGCGUAAAGCGCGCGUAGGCGGAUU